GAUGGUCUUCGGUGAUAGUAGGGUGGAGGAAAAAUUCGAGGAAAGGAUCUGGUUGAGCGUUAACCGUGAGUUCAAUGAGAUCAACGUCCUACAAAGUCUUAUAACUUCUUUUGGUGCCAAACAUGAAGGCUGUGCGGGAAACAAGGACCUACUUCAGCGUGCCCUGAAGGAUACGAUCCGGCAAAAGAAGAAGUUUUUGUUGGUGAUGGAUGAUGUGUGGAGGGAAAAUGUGUGGUAUAAGCUGCUUAGAGAGCCGCUCAAUCAUGGUGCUUCUGGCAGUCGAGUCUUGGUGACCACAAGAAAUGAUGGAGUUGCUCAUGGGAUGAAAGCUCAACAUCUCCAUCCAGUUCACAAGCUAACAACGGAAGAUGCUUGGAUUUUGCUAAAGAACCAGGUCAGUAAUAACUUUUAUUUAUUACAGUAAUUAUUUAUGCAGUAAUUUGAAUUUACUGUAACAACUUUUAUCUCUUCUUAAUUACUUUCUCUCCCUUGGAGGAAUGCACGAUAGCCCACUGCUCGUUAUUUCUCUUGUCGCUCUUGUCCGAUCUGAUUACGCAAAGGACCAUGUAAUUUCACUACGAGCCUUUUAUCAUACUUUCAUAAGCUCUUGGCUUAGCAAAACUUGUCUCAUGGUUAUAUUUAGUUGAACAUAUCCUAUUGACGUUGAGGGAAGUUUUGUUUAGUGCAAGGAAUCGGAUACCGUAGCCUAAGAGGGGGAGAGGGUGAAUUAGGUAACUUAAAACCUUAAUCUAUAGCUUCCGCUACUUUUGCAUCAAAUUUAAUUAGAUCAUGUAUCAAGAUGUGUAACUAUGGUUGAUCUAGUGUGAAAUCCUCAUCCUAAAAUUAGUUUUGCAACCUAGAGGCAAUCCUAACAAGAUACUACACUAAGAAUGUAAAGGCACACAAGUUGCAAGUAUGAAAUGUGGAAAUGAAAAGGAGGGGAUGAGGGGAAGCAAACUCUUGACACGAUGAUUUAUCCCGUUGUAUCGGUAGGCACUAAACCACCGCUAGUCGACAUUGUUGAAGCACUCACACAAGAGUAUUGCUUUCCGGUCACCAAGUCUCUCUCGGGAUACUCCUUGCUUUGCCACGAAGGCUUGGCCGCUAAGGCUCACGUCAAAUUCUCAGGUCACCUUGAUACCAUCUCCACAAAGGAGCUUCUCCACGAAGGAAGGGGGUCUCCACGUUCCCUGCAUAUUGUCGUCGACGCCGAUCCAUGCCAAACCGGAGGGUCGAAGACUUACCGGCGAACUACCAAGGCUCCAAGAUAGCACACCUUGUACAGCUGUGGUUCACUCCUAGAACCGAUCACAAGGCAGGCACACCUUGCACUCUCUCUUCUCUAGGCCUAUCCUAGCACUAAAUAUUCUUAUAAGCUUGUGCUAAGCCUUUGAUUAAUCACUUAUGCACUUUUGGUGGCUUGGAUGUGUUCUUGAUGAGUCUUGAUCUCCAAUGGACUUCUGCAUACUCCAGCUUCAUCCAGCAACUCCAAUGGGUGAGUGGAGGGGGUAUAAAUAGCCCAAGAACUCAAAGAGCCGUUGCUCCAACGGCUAGUUAAAGUAUACCAUCGGAUGUUCCGAUGGUAUCAUUCGGGGUAGCAUUCGAACAUCUGGUUCUACCAGCCCUUGCCUCCCCGCGCUUAGAUUCUACUCAAGUUCCUCACCGACGCAAUCCAUCGAUUGAUCAAGUGGUCCCUCUAGCACCCAUCGGAUCAUCCGGUGCAGUAGCUUCCUAUGCCAAAACGUCUCUGUUAGUUUCUAAAAUAAAUAUGCUUCAUCCGAUGCCCCCACGACACAUAGCGUCGGAUCAUCCGGUGCCUCCUUCUUUCUUCUCUUUGCUCCGGCGAUUCAUCCGAUGGAUACAAAACUUAGGCCAUCGAAUCAUCCGAUGGUCCUACUUUGACUUGGUCUCCACAUGGCGUACCAAAAGCUCCGAUGCUUGCACCGAUGCUUUUUCAACUGGCCAUCGAAACAUCCGAUGGUCUCAAAAACCUGCUUCACGCUUGGCACCGACUGAUUCGGUGGGCACCUUCUUCUUGUCACCAGAUGAAUCGGUGACUAUAAUGAUUCCUGUUUUUCUUUGAUUCUUUGCUUAUCUUUGGUUGUGGUUGCUUCCUCAGGACCUAUAAUACCUUCAAGAUAUGUUUUCAAUGCUUUGUUAGUCCUGAUGACCGUGUUGUCACAUUAAUCACCAAAAUCACAAACAAAUAGCCUAUUCGGGGCCAUGUUUGCUACAUUUAGGCUAUUCCCAAUGGGGAUUUCAUAAGAGUUUCAUUUAAUGAUGCGACACACCAACAAUUUUGAUGAUAUGGCAUGCUAAUAAUCAUGAAGAGAGAGAGGGAAUGAGUUUAAUCCUGAUUAAACUAUGUAUACAUUGUUUCCAAGACUAUGAAACCUGAUGAAACUAGCAUUGGGGAUUAGAGAGUUUCAUUUCAUCUCAUAACAUCCAAUCACAUACCUCGCAAUUAAACGUUAUGUCCAGCCUAUGAAAUCGCGAAAUGAAACUCUCCAUUGGGAGAUCUUGUGUCAUACAUCCACUCAAACAUCUUUCGAUGACGUACCACUCUUGAAAAUUGUAAUUGAAAUUUCCCACUGGGAAUAGCCAUGGUUGCUCUAGAGUCUAGACUCUAUUUAAGUCACUUCAACUUUUUCCCUACACACAACCCCUGCAACAGUUAUGAUACAACAUAAAAUCCAUUGGGAGCUUUUCGAUUCUAGCACCAUUUCCUCUCUCAAACUUGCUGCAUUUUUUUUCCAAUACUAGGUAGUUUCGAAUGAGAGUGAUGAAGCCGAUGUCGAUGAAUUGAAGAGUAUCGGGAUGGAAAUUGUUGAAAGAUGUGACUGCUUGCCGUUAGCAGUUAAGGUCCUUGGAGGACUCUUGCGUCACAAAAGGAGAACAAGGGAUGCCUGGACGGAUGUUAGUAGCCACGAUAUUUGGUCGACAAUAGGAAGCGAUGAAGAUAUUAAUAAAGCGGUCUAUUUGAGUUAUGAAGAUUUGCCUUCACACUUGAAGCAAUGUUUUGUGUAUUGUUCGCUAAUCCCUAAAGAUCACUUGAUAUCGAGUGGAGUAAUAGUCAAGCUUUGGAUUGCAGCAGGUCAUGUACACAACAAGAUGAGCUGUAAGGUACCAGAAAAGUUGGGGAAAGAAUACUACAACGAAUUGGUUUCAAGAAAUCUUCUAGAACCAGACAAAAGUUACUAUAGUACAGUAGUAUGCAGGAUGCACGAUGUUGUCCGUUCCUUCGCUCAGUAUAUAAUUAAAGAUGAAGGGAUACUUAUUAGUGAUGGGCAGGAUGUUAAUAGAACUCUUAGCACUGCAAAGCUUCGGCACCUAUCUAUCUCAAACACGACAGUAGGGCAUGACACUUUGCAAAAACAAGCCUUGCUUAGAACAUUAAUUUUAUUCGGAAGCAGUACCACUGUUGAGCUAAAGGAUCUGUUGAACAACCUUUCUUGCCUGAGAGUACUACAUCUAGUAAAGGUAGAUUUAGUCGAGCUGCCAGACUCCAUAUGCCACCUCAAACAUUUAAGAUACUUGUGUAUUUGUAACGCAAGCAUAUCCAGAAUUCCUCAAGGCAUAGGAGAUCUAAAAUUUCUACAAUCUAUUGACCUUGAUGGGUGUGCAAAUAUUCAUCAACUUCCUAACAGCAUCCUAAAGCUGCGGAAGCUAAGGUCACUCAACUUGAGCGACACGGCAAUCACUUCAAUUCCUCGUGGCUUGGGAAAACUAGAAGAUUUGGUCACCAUAAGGGGGUUUCCAACACAUUAUUCAGAUGAGAGCACAGGUGGCUGGUGCAGCAUAGAAGAACUCAGACCUCUGUCGAAGCUCCAAAGCCUUGAAAUAAUAUGUCUGGAGAAGGCACCUUCCGGUUCUAUGGCUGCUAAAGCAAACCUUAGCAGUAAACAUCACCUGACAUGGCUAGAUUUGGUAUUUACCAGCAGGCUAGGAGACAACGGGGUGGUCGAAGGCAACAUUAGCGAGGAGGAACACAGGAGAACAGAGGAGGUGCUGGAUAAUCUGUGUCCUCCAACUUGCAUGGAAGAACUUGAUAUAAAAGGCUACUUUGCACGUGGGCUACCGCAGUGGAUGAGAACCAUGUCAGCCUUUGGGAGCUUAAGGCGGUUGGUGCUACAUGACUACGCAUGCUGCCCGCAUCUACCUAAUGGAUUGGGGCAGCUCCCCUUUCUUGAUUAUUUUUGGGUCAAACGUGCUCCGUCUGUCCGGUGCGUUGGGCACGAUUUCCUCUUCCCCUCCUUGGGUGGUCAAGCUGAUGGCAAAGUAACACGGAACAAUAACAGGCAGCCUCAUCAUACUUCGCGUGGUGCUGGUGUUGCUUUUCCCAAGCUGUCAGAAGUGGGUUUUGUAGGCAUGCUGGGAUGGACGAAUUGGGAGUGGGAGCAGCACGUCCCAGCGAUGCCUACACUAGAGGAGCUUACAAUCAGAAACUGCAAACUGCAACACCUUCCUGCAGGGCUUGCAUACCAUGCAUGCCGGUUGAGAGAGUUGGACCUGAGAAAUAUCCAGCUCUUGGUCUGUGUGGAGAACUUCCCUUCACUAGUCAAGCUUUGGUCAUAUGACAACCCAAGGCUGGAGAGGAUCAGCAACAACCCAAGCUUGCAAUGGAUUGACAUUAGCAAUUGCCGAGCACUAGAGGAAUUGGACGGUUUGCCAUCCCUCCUAAGCCUUGAGUGGUGGAAUUUGAGUGCUGAAGCACUCCCAGAAUACUUGCGAGAGGCAAAGCUAAAGAAAUUGCGUGUAGAUUGCAGCCGAAGAUUGCUCAAACUGAUAGCACUACAAGAUGAAUCCUCCGAAUGGGGAAAGAUCCAGCAUGUCCAGCAACUAAAGGUGUAUGGAUGCAAGAUAGAAGGAGAAGCGGAGGAAGCCGACCAAUCGCACGAAGAUGAGGAUGCCGAGUGGUACAUCUACUGUACCAAGGAGCCGUAUUCAUUCGACGCAUACCUGGGCAAGUCCACGGGUGAGUUCAUCUUCGACCUACUCGGUGGUUUUAUAACUGUAUGUGUGUACACUCAUGUAAAAAUGGAUUUCUAACUGUAUAUUCACCUGCGCACAGGAUGAAGAUGAAGCAGAAGUAGACGAGGUGAACGAAGAGCAGAGUCCAGGAAUAGAACAUAGUAAGAAUGCAAGGAACAGAGGAAGCUCUCAGGCUGUUACGACAGGAGGAGCAUUCGAAUCCAUCCACCAAAUACUAGGUAUGAAUUGCCCAAAUACUAAUGGUCUUGUAGUUGUACACGCCAAAUUGGCUGUGACUAUUCUAACUGGAAAGCAUUGUCGUGUUAACGCAGGAGAAGAACACAUCGCAAUUGGCAUACUGUCCCUCAAAUUCGUAAGUUGUAUAUGUUUGUGUGCGAAAAAUAUAAUACAUCAGUAAGGCGCGAGCGUCUCUCUAACCAGUUGUUGUGACGCUCAGGAAGGGAGCGCCAGCACGGGCGGCCUUGGACUCGUUGGAGCGAAUACGCGUCGGGGACGAGCGAUGGGCUGAGAGCUGAAGCACUGAACGUGCGCGCGAAGGGCAGCAGGGAAGGGAUUUGCACAUUUAGCUCCCAGGAUUUGCACUUCUUGUUGGCGUAUUUGUAGGCAGGUCUGCACUCCAUCUCUUCUUUUUGGUUGGUCUGUGCUAGCUCGUCAGACUUUCUACAGUGUUUUUGAAUGUUCGAUAACAAAUGAGUGUAGGAAUUUGCAGACGUGCUCUAUGAUGCCGAGAUAACAAUUGCAUCCCCCCCUCAUGGAUCCUCUGGAAAGCUGAAGCUACUCUGCAAGACUGCAACGAUUGCAGCAACACGGACGUGCCUACUAAAAACAUGGUGCAAUAAAACUGCGAAAUGCUAAACAAGGUCAAGCCGGCAGCCAGGUGAGCAACAUUCCAGGCAGCAGGCAUAUUCUGAGCCGUUCAGCGUGGACCGGAGCCAACAACGGGGAUAAGAAGUCCCAACUAGUAGUAGUUGGCAGCCAAUGCGGUGGCCAAAAUUUGACCAAGCCAAGGCUAGUAAACAGCAAAUUUUGUAGCAAACCAAAAUUAAAAUGCGACGUAACCAAAGCGCUGGCGUAACCAUGUCGACAUUAGACCUGAUUUGUUAAUACGUGCUGAGAUGGCGAGGCAUAUCUUGUAACCAGCGACGAAGAGAAGAGUUCAAGCUGCAUUGGAUACAUGUGCUCCUGCCUCCUGGGGGUUAGUUGAGGCGUCUCUCUUUUGCACCUCAUCAAUAGAGACAAAUAAUUUGAGUUGCAUAUUUUUUGACUACUGACUGGACACCCAAUCGAGGUCCACAAAAAUAUGGAGUAGCGUACUCUUCUGGCCCUCCUAUGCGUUGAACUUCUUCGCCUCACCAUCUCAUCUGCCCAUCCGUGAUUUUCCAUCGACCGGCCAGGCCUUCCUUCUGUAUAAAGCGUCUCCUAAAUCACCGCAGAGUGUACACCCACACAUAUCUGAAAUCUAGUCAUCUUCCUUAGUCAUCUUCCUUUUGCUCUCUGCUUUGCUACCCUGUUCCCCGACCAUGGCAGAGCUGCUGGACGAGUUCGCGUCCAAGCUUGUGGGCAUCCUGGCAGGCAUGGUGAAGGAGGAGGUGGAGAUGCUCCUCGGCGUGCCGGGUGAGGUCACCAAGCUCGAGACCACGCUCCGCGACCUGAGCCACAUCUUGGGUGAUGCGGAGAGGAAGCGCAUCCGUGACAAGGCUACGGAGGGUUGGGUGAGGGAGCUCAAGGACGUCAUGUACGACGCCGAUGACGUCCUUGACCUCUGCCAGCUCAUGGAAGGCGGAGAAGAUCCUCCCGCACCAACAUCUGCUCCGAAAACCACCUCAAGGUGCUGGGACAUCCCCAAGAUGUUUUUUUGCUUCCGCAACCCUGUUGCGGCACAUGAGAUUGGAACGAAGAUCCAAGCGAUCAACCAGCGACUGGAAGACCUGGCAAAGAGGAGCUCCCGUUUCGGAUUCAUCACCCAAGCCAUCCAUUCCUCAGCUGAUUCAAUCAACGAAGCUUGGAAUUCUUUGUCCGACGAGACUGGAUCGGUUUUUAUCCGGUCUGAUGUUGUCGGCGAGAAGAUUGAGGAUGACACGAAGAAAAUUGUUGAUCUACUCAUCAAGAAGGUGGAUGCUCCUGUAGGAUCAAGGGCCAAUAGUGAUGUGGUUGUUGCUGUUGCUAUCACAGGCACAGGUGGGAUAGGCAAAACCACUCUUGCUAAGAUGGUCUUCGGUGAUAGUAGGGUGGAGGAAAACUUCAAGGAAAGGAUCUGGUUGAGCGUUAACCGUGAGUUCAAUGAGAUCAAUGUCCUACAAAGUCUUAUAGCUUCUUUUGGUGCCAAACAUGAAGGCUGUGCGGGAAACAAGGACCUACUUCAGCGUGCCCUGAAGGAUACAAUCCGGCAAAAGAAGAAGUUUUUGUUGGUGAUGGAUGAUGUGUGGAGCGAAAAUGUGUGGUAUAAGCUGCUUAGAGAGCCGCUCAAUCAUGGUGCUUCUGGCAGUCGAGUCUUGGUGACCACAAGAAAUG
rnacentral:lncRNA from 1 species